AUAGUGGUGUUUGGACUUCUUCUUUCUGAU
rnacentral:piRNA from 1 species